rnacentral:rRNA from 1 species
UGGGCAACCUGCCCCUCUCUCUGGGAUAACCCCGGGAAACCGGAGCUAAUACCGGAUACUCCGGCUGGAUCGCAUGGUCCGGCCGGGAAAGGUCCGCCGGAGAGGGAUGGGCCCGCGGCCUAUCAGCUUGUUGGUGGGGUCAUGGCUCACCAAGGCGACGACGGGUAGCUGGCCUGAGAGGACGACCAGCCACACUGGAACUGAGAUACGGUCCAGACUCCGUACGGGAGCA